CUCAGUCAUUUCUAUCUGAUAUAUUGUUUUUAAAAUGUUUUGGCCGGGACAUUUUGCUUACAAACAAGGAGGAAGCGUCCACCAGUAUAAUAAAUUACUAGACCAGCUUUACUGUCCAAUGCAUGUUUUCACGUGGUCUCUCACAGCUGCAACCUGACCGCGUCACCCACGUCGGGAGACCCCUGGUGGUCAAGCACGCAUGAACUCGAGCGCGCAUGGAAGCGGGAAGUCAUUCGAGUGUGGCUGCCGUCUGACCAGCAUCAGUUUAGAUUGGAGGCUUCUCUGAGCGACGCCUUGAUUGCCGUUGACGAUGUUGCGCUGACAUUUGGUGCAUGUCCUUCGGAACAGAGGGGACUAAGCUGUGAUUUCGAGCGAGGCCCCUGUACUUGGACGAACUCGAUGAGGAAGAGGAGAACCUGGGAGUGGCUCCUGCGUGGUGGACACCUCAACACUGACGUCCCGCAACCGCCCCUCGACCACACUCUGU
rnacentral:lncRNA from 1 species